AUUGAACGCUGGCGGCAUGCCUUACACAUGCAAGUCGAACGGCAGCACGGGAGCAAUCCUGGUGGCGAGUGGCGAACGGGUGAGUAAUAUAUCGGAACGUGCCCAGUCGUGGGGGAUAACGUAGCGAAAGCUACGCUAAUACCGCAUACGAUCUAUGGAUGAAAGCGGGGGGAUCGCAAGACCUCGCGCGAUUGGAGCGGCCGAUAUCAGAUUAGGUAGUUGGUGAGGUAAAGGCUCACCAAGCCGACGAUCUGUAGCUGGUCUGAGAGGACGACCAGCCACACUGGGACUGAGACACGGCCCAGACUCCUACGGGAGGCAGCAGUGGGGAAUUUUUGGACAAUGGGCGGCAAGCCUGAUCCAGCAAUGCCGCGUGCAGGAUGAAGGCC
rnacentral:rRNA from 1 species